GACGAACGCUGGCGGCGUGCUUAACACAUGCAAGUCGAACGGUAAGGCCCUUCGGGGUACACGAGUGGCGAACGGGUGAGUAACACGUGGGUGAUCUGCCCUGCACUUCGGGAUAAGCCUGGGAAACUGGGUCUAAUACCGGAUAGGACCACUGCCUGCAUGGGUGGUGGUGGAAAGCUUUUGCGGUGUGGGAUGGGCCCGCGGCCUAUCAGCUUGUUGGUGGGGUGAUGGCCUACCAAGGCGACGACGGGUAGCCGGCCUGAGAGGGUGACCGUCCACACUGGGACUGAGAUACGGCCCAGACUCCUACGGGAGGCAGCAGUGGGGAAUAUUGCACAAGGGGCGCAAGCCUGAUGCAGCGACGCCGCGUGAGGGAUGACGGCCUUCGGGUUGUAAACCUCUUUCAGCACCGACGAAGCGUAAGUGACGGUAGGUGCAGAAGAAGGACCGGCCAACUACGUGCCAGCCGCCGCAGUAA
rnacentral:rRNA from 1 species